AUGAGCUGCGGGGGGGUAUGGGGGGCCAGGAGUGCCGCUGCCCCCAAAGGCCUGGCCAUCCAAGUAGGCCACGUAGGUAUCCAGGAGCUCUGGUCCACCGGCCACGCUGGCGCCACCACUGCCUCCAACGCCGCCAGUUCCACCCCCUGCGCCGCCCCCGCCUUCAGCGGACAGGCUGCUCAGCGUGGAGGCGCUGCUGAUGGUCUCCAGGGGGUGGUCGCUGCUGCUCCGACUGUCCACCUCCUCAAUACCAGAAUCCGUGCCCGGGGGAGGGUCUGGGCCAGGCUGGGGGGCUGGGGGAGCCGGAGCGGCUGGGGCGGGAGGGCCUGGCGGAGGGGGGUCCCCAGGAGCCGCGGGGGCCCCCUGGGUCAGCGUUGCCACCUCGCUGUCAUAGGAAGUCAGGCUGGAUGCGGUCGAGUCCAGGGUGGGAGGGGCGGCGGCCACGGCCGGGGGCGGCACAGAGGGCAAUGGGGUGGUCGGGGUGGGUGGGUCCGGCAGCGGGUGGGAGGCCCCGGCGUGAGAGGCGACUCCGGCUUCUCGAAGCUGUUGGAAAACUCUAGGGGCGGGGGCAGCGGUUCCACAAAGAGGAAUUCGCCGUCUUCCACGUCUACCGAGGGGGCGGGCGGCGGCAGGACCAGCAGGGGGAGCCCGUUCUCUUCACUGCCCCGCGGGGAGGUCGGCGAGGGCGGCACAGAGCGGCGCGGGCUGGGCGGCGGGACCCCCGGCCCGUCCUCCGAGGGGGGCCCCCUUCCACCCGCCCCGCCGGCCCGGGGCUGGCAGUUCUCCAGGAACCGCACGUGGAGGGGCAGCCGCUCGGGCUCCUCCGGGGGGGCGCCAGAUCUCCAGGGCUUGCUUACCCCGGGGUGCGGGGCGGGGGGCUCGGGCCCCAGCUGCAGCAGGAGGGGCCCGACCCCGGGAGCUGUGGGAGGCAGGCGGUGCAGCAAGGAGCGUCGGGCCGCCGGUGGGCUGGCCGGAAGGGACUUCUCCUGGCUGCCCAGCCCUGCCCGGUACCCCAGCUCCCGGCGGGCCGGGUCCGGGGGCGAGGCUCCCCAGAGGCGCAGCACUGGCUCGUGGUGGGCGUGGGGCGAGUGGUGGUGCGGGGUGGGCGGCGGGGCCUCGUAGCGGGGCGAUGGGGGCCUUGGAGGGGGCUGGGGGGGCCCACCGCCCUCCGAGGACUCCUUCAGCGCCCGCUCCCGGGCGGCCAGGGCCAGCCCGAGUGGGGAGGCCGGGUCCAGGGCCUUGCCGGUCAGCGGGUGGACCAGGGGUCGCGGCGGCAGGAAGCUGGUGAAGGCGCUGCUGCCCGCGUAGGCUCGGCCGCCGGCCGCGUAGCCCGCGUAGCCGCUGCCGGCGCCCGCCGACUCCAGCCGGAGGUAGGGCUCGGCCGAAAACAUGCCUUCGUCGAUGGACUUGGAGUGGCGCAGCCGGGGGCCCGGGGGCGCCCCUGGGCCCAGCGAGCUGUCGCCGCCGUCCUCGUCCCCCGCGUCGGUGGAGAGGAAGAGCGUGGACCGCCGGCGGGCUUCGUUCUGCCAGCCCCCUUCCCUCCGAGCCGCCCCCACCAGGGCCGCUCCGAACUGGCUGGUGAAAUCCAGGGUGGCCGGGCCGCUGGGCGAGGCGGGGGUGGGCACAGGCGAGGGGGACGGCGGCACGGGCGACACGGCCGGGGCGGGGCUGGGCGCGGAAGAGCCGCCGCCGCCGACCCCGCCGCCCGCGGCCUCGGGCUGGCUCGGGGGCUCCGCCUCGGUGCUGCUCCCCUGGCUGCUGCGGCCGCUGCUACUGGUGGACGGCGCCUUGAUGAUGAUGGUGGGGAUGGGGAUGGAGUUCUUUUCCGACGGGGCGGCCGCGGCCGGCGGCGGCGGCGGCGGCGGCUGCGGGGACGCCGGAGACGUGGGCGAGGGGGCAGGCGGGAGGCCGCCGCCCUUCUGGGGCUCGCCUUCGACGACUUUGGUCUGCUUGACCAGCGGGCCCUUGCGCCCGCGGCCGGAACGGGCGGGCACAUACAUGGCCGCGCUGGCCGCCCGCGGAGGCAGCUGGAAGUAGCGCAGCGCCGGAGCCUGGGAGGGGCCGCCCGCGCCGCCCCCGCUGCUGUGGUGCGACGGGGACAGAGCACCCGGGGUCGGGCUGGGCCCGCCGCCCCGCCAGCCUCGUAGGCUGGGCUGGGGGCCCAGAGCCAGGCGGGGUGGGGGGUCGUCGGGGGAGCCGCCAGUCUCCAUCUCCGGGGCGUGAGGCGGGGUGGGCAUGGUGGUGGUGGGGCUGGGGGCGGGGCGUGGUGGUGGUGGUGGUGGGGCGGGUGGUGGUGGGGUGGGGGCAGGGGCCCGCUGUGAUACAGGCUCUUCUCUCGGCUCCCUAUCCGGGUGUCAGGGGGAGCAGGCCCAUCGAAGGACGCCGGGGACGAGGCCGGGUGGGUGCCACCUGAGCUGGGGUUGAAGGGCCCACCCCGCGGAGAGGGAGUGAGGCGGCCGGAGGAGGAUGGGGCUGGAGGCGUGCUGUAGGGGGGCUCUGGUGGGGACGUGGUGGGCGGCGGGGAUGUCCUCCAGACCAGGCACAGACAGACUGCGGCUGAACUUCAUGGCUGGGGUGCUAGGUAGGGUCUAUCGUCCUCUGCAGCCCCUGGGAAGACACAGAGGAUCCAGGAGCAGGGCUGGGGUGGGAGGGGUGGUCUCCCCUAACCCUAUGGAGCUACAGUAUUACAACAGCAGCACCCAUGAUGAUACUGAUGGUGACACCCUGCUGCUGCUGCUGCUGCUGCUAAGUCGCUGCAGUCGUGUCCGACUCUGUGUGACCCCAUAGACGGCAGCCCACCAGGCUCCCCCGUCCCCGGGACUCUCCAGGCAAGAACACUGGAGUGGGUUCCCAUUUCCUUCUCCAGUGCAUGAAAAUGAAGUGAAAGUGAAGUCGUUCAGUCGUGUCUGACUUUUAGCGACCCCAUGGACCGCAGCCUACCAGACUCCUCUGUCCUUGGGAUU
ensembl:lncRNA